GGGGCUGGCCAUUGUGUUUGGAAGACAUGGUAGUAUAAAAUCACACAUUUUUUCCCCCAAUUUCCCUUUCUUGUGUUUUCAUUCUGUUCUAAAAUCAAAAACCCUAACCAAGAAAGUUUUCACCGCAUCUCCACCUAUUCUCAAUCUCCACAAAUCGAAGAAAAGAGAAUGAGUAGACGCUCGAGCAGAACUGUCUACGUUGGGAAUCUACCUGGUGAUAUCCGUGAAAGAGAAGUUGAAGAUUUGUUUCUGAAGUAUGGACACAUAACACACAUUGACCUAAAGGUUCCCCCAAGACCACCUGGUUAUGCAUUUGUAGAGUUUGAAGAUGCUCAAGAUGCUGAGGAUGCAAUUCGUGGUCGUGAUGGCUAUGAUUUUGAUGGGCACCGGUUACGGGUGGAGCCUGCCCAUGGUGGACGUGGUCAUUCAUCCUCAAGAGAUCGAUACAAUAGUCACAGCAAUGGCCGAGGUGGACGUGGGGUGUCUAGGCGCUCUGAAUAUCGUGUUCUAGUCUCUGGAUUGCCCUCUUCGGCAUCCUGGCAGGAUCUUAAGGAUCACAUGCGUAAGGCAGGGGAUGUUUGUUUUUCUCAAGUUUUUCAUGAUGGAAGGGGUACUACCGGUAUUGUGGAUUACACAAAUUAUGAUGAUAUGAAAUAUGCUAUCAAGAAGCUUGAUGACUCUGAGUUCCGGAAUGCAUUUUCCAAGGGAUAUGUUCGGGUGAGAGAAUAUGAUUCAAGGCGGGAUUCCUCUAGAAGUCCUAGUCGUGGCCCAUCUCAUUCUAGAGGAAGGAGCUAUAGCCGCAGUCGUAGCCGUAGCCGUAGUUACAGUCGGGACCGGAGCCAAAGCAAAUCUCCAAAGGGUAAGUCUUCACAGCGUUCACCUGCUAAAUCUCCAUCAAGAUCUCCCUCUCGUUCAAGAUCAAGGUCCCGAUCGUUAUCAGGAUAUGGAAACUUGCAGCGUACUGGAAAUUGGAAAUUAGGAUCUUGGUGGGAUUUGGUUCAAUUGUCUGCAACUCAUUUUGUUGUGGAGAUUGGGAACCAAGGAGGUCAUGGAUUGCCAUUUUAGAGCUGGAUUGUGUAUAAAGGCAAUUGGAUUUGAAAAUCACCACCAAUGAGCAAUAGGACAAUUUCAUUACAAUUGUGGGCUUCAAGAUUUGCCAAGCCAAUAGGAUGCACUAUCUGGAUUCUCUGGAUUUUGUGGUGCAGUAGGGAAGAUUUCUUUUCUCCGAAUAAUUGGUGCCUUAAUAUGUCACACUGAGAUGGGCUAUUUUUAUUCUGUUUUUCAUAAAUGUAUUAUUUUUCCUUUUUUUGUCUUCUCUUUGUUAGUCUGUUUUAUAUUUUAUGAUGCUUGUUUUUACCUCCUUGGAUAUGUUAACUGUGACAUCGGAGAGGCAUGAAGGCUGUCGGAUCAAUUUGAUAAGGGAACUUGUGGAUUUUAAAUUCUGUUGUUUGUGGAACUUUUGCAGAUCACGGUCCAGGUCCAGGUCCCCAUUGCCUCCGCGUAAUAAAAGCCCCAAAAAGCGCAGUGCUAGCAGGAGUCCGAGUAGGAGUAGGAGCAAGAGCAAGAGUUUGUCCCGGUAACCUCUGAUUGUUACAAUUGAUGAAGUUGUGGAUGAUGGUGAGGGAGGGCUACCAAGUUUUUUCUAGUACAAUUGACAUUAGCCAAAAAAAACAUUUGGGUUUUAUGUUUGAUCUCCUUUUAUUGAACUUGAGACUUUCGACUUAAUUUUAAUAUUGAGGAUUUGACGGACCGUAGAUUUCUGUAAUAGACUAUUGAAUGUCAAAAACAUGCGCUAUUUGGGUAAUUGUGCCGGUUUAUUUGAUUACCAAUUAGUUUUACUCUUUAAAUUUGGAUCUUGUGUAUUAUUGAAUGGUUUGAAUUUACAAA